UACGUAGGGUGCAAGCGUUGUCCGGAAUUAUUGGGCGUAAAGGGCGCGUAGGCGGCUUGGCAAGUGGAUGGUGAAAUCCCUCGGCUUAACCGAGGAACUGCCGUCCAAACUGCUUCGCUUGAGACCGGGAGAGGUGAGUGGAAUUCCCAGUGUAGCGGUGAAAUGCGUAGAUAUUGGGAGGAACACCAGUGGCGAAGGCGGCUCACUGGACCGGUACUGACGCUGAUGCGCGAAAGCGGUGGGAGCAAACGGGG
rnacentral:rRNA from 1 species